CGAUUAAGUUAUAAAGGGCGCACGGCGAAUGCCUUGGCAUCAGGAGCCGAAGAAGGACGUGAUAAGCUGCGAUAAGCUUUGGGUAGCCGCAAAUAGGCAGAGAUCCAAAGAUUUCCGAAUGAGGAAACUCACAUGGGAAACCCCAUGU
rnacentral:rRNA from 1 species